UCUAAAUUAGCAGAAAGAUAAUGUGUUUGACUUAGGAUCAAAAGGUGUGUUAGUUGCACAUUUAGAA
rnacentral:tRNA from 2 species